rnacentral:rRNA from 1 species
UACGUAGGGGGCAAGCGUUGUCCGGAUUUAUUGGGCGUAAAGAGCGUGUAGGCGGCCAGAAAAGUCCGCUGUGAAAACUCGAGGCUCAACUUCGAGCUGUCGGUGGAAACUUUCUGGCUAGAGUCCGGAAGAGGAGGAUGGAAUUCCUGGUGUAGCGGUGAAAUGCGCAGAUAUCAGGAAGAACACCCGUGGCGAAGGCGGUUCUCUGGGCCGAUACUGACGCUGAGGAGCGAAAGCGUGGGGAGCGAACAGG